GUCUCUGUAGUACAAUGGAUAGUGCGUUGGACUUCUGAUCCAAAGGUAGAGUUCGAAUCUCUCCUGGGACG